ACAGACUGCCCACCCCAACUCACACCCUGACCAUACUAAAACAAAGACAAAACAAAGGAACUAAGAAUCUCCACAUGAGACCUGGAUGGAGUCUGAGGACAAAGUGAGGGAAAUGAUCUCGGAGAAAAUGAAGAUGGACCACAGGAAUAUUGAGGUGGAGCCGCACCCACAGGACUGGAAAACACACCACGACCCAGGAAAUGCCAACAACGAACACAACGACCUGGGGAAUAGUUACAGGGGAGAGGAGCUGAAGACUCUUCUUUGAAUCAUAGAAAUGAAUUGAAAUGACUUCGGAACUGUGCACACUUUGGAAAGGUGUGUGUCCAUUUGGAGAUACCAAUUAGCCCUCUCACUCAAAGCCUUGUAAUUUGUUUGUCUUAUCUUGCACCUACCCCACAUUUUCCAGGAAUAUUUGUAUUGUGUUACUGAAUGUAUCCAGAGUAUUUUCAGAUUUUGUUAUCAACAAAUGUGGCAAAAAGUACAGUGAAUGUAAAAUGUACAUAACAUCAAUGGCGCAAUAUUUGGAUUCAGUAUUGUGUCAGCUGAAUUGUUGUGUCCUCACUUUUGGUGUAAUAAUUUCCCCAUAAUCUCCAAACUGUUCCCUUUCCAUUGUUACCAAGGUUAUGCAUUUUCACAUAUCUUCCGCAAGAAAACAUUUCAAUGUAUCCUUAUCUGUUUAGAACAAUUCCCACGAGUAUAUAGGAUUAACCCUUGUGUAUGCCUUUCCUUACCAUGUGUAAGACUCAAUUAUUUCUGUUAUAUGUUUUGGUGCAGAUAAAGUAUGUGUUUAAUUUACUAUGCGGAUAAGAAAGUGGCUGAUCACAGAAAUGUUCAUACAAUUGUUGAAAACUACCAUCAGUCACUAAAACAGCUAAAACGUGUUCACAGUCAAAUGUAUUUCUAUUCUGAUCCUUACAAAAUAAAGAACUCAAUAUGC
ensembl:lncRNA